UACGUAGGGUCCGAGCGUUGUCCGGAAUUAUUGGGCGUAAAGAGCGCGUAGGCGGUCUGUUGCGUCGGUUGUGAAAACCUGGGGCUCAACUCCAGGCCUGCAAUCGAUACGGGCAGACUAGAGUUCGGUAGGGGAGACUGGAAUUCCUGGUGUAGCGGUGAAAUGCGCAGAUAUCAGGAGGAACACCGGUGGCGAAGGCGGGUCUCUGGGCAUUAACUGACGCUGAGGAGCGAAAGCAUGGGGAGCGAACAGG
rnacentral:rRNA from 1 species